AAAACAGGUUAAUAUUCCUGUACCUGUAUCAAACAAUCCUGACGCUUUCGGAUAGGCAUUGCGGAGCCAUCGCUCCGUCUAAGCUGGAUAUGAAAUUGGAGUACCGUAAUGGUGAGAAUUUUUCAAAACGGUGAUGGGGUAACAAUGCUAAUUCCAGGAGCCCGUGAGAAGGGUGAUACGGUCCGUACCGAGAACUGACACAGGUGCCCCUCGCUGAGAAGGCGAAGGCGUGUCGGGAGUAAAUGUGUUAAGGGAACUCGGCAAAUUAGCCCUGUAACUUUGGGAUAAGGGGUGCCUGCCCAGCGAUUGGGCAGGUCGCAGUGACAAGAUCGCUCCGACUGUCUAAUAACAACAUAGCAGACUGCAACUCCGAAAAGACUCGUAUAGUCUGUGAUUCCCGCCCAGUGCGAGUAUCUGAACACCGGGUUCAACCGGACGAAGGACUUGUAAACGGCGGGGGUAACUAUGACCCUCUUAAGGUAGCGUACUACCUUGUCGCUUAAUUGGCGACUUGCAUGAAUGGAAUAACGAGAGCGAUACUGUCCCUAACACAUACCCGUUGAACCUUUUGUACUAGUGCAGAGACUAGUGACUCCUUAUGGGAAGUGAAGACCCCGUGGAGCUUUACUGCAGCCUGUCGUUGGGUUACGGUAUUACCUGCGCAGGGUAGAUGGGAGACGUCGAUCCAACCCUUGUGGGGGUUGGUUAGUCAACGAUGAGACACCAUCCUGGUUUUAUUGUAAUUCUAACUGAUUUAUCAGGACAUCGAUAGGUAGGCAGUUUGGGUGGGGCGCCACACCCUCGAAAAAAUAUCAAGGGUGCCCUAAGGUCAACUCAAGCGGGUCAGAAACCCGCUGAAGAGUGUCAAGAGCAAAAGUUGGCCUGACGCGAUUUCGCAUAGCAAGAAAUCGCGAGAGGAAACUCGGGUCUAACAAACCAAUACGCCCUGUUGAUGAGGGCUAUUGACUACAGAAAAGCUACCCCGGGGAUAACAGAGUCGUCGCCGGCAAGAGCACAUAUCGACCCGGCGGCUUGCUACCUCGAUGUCGGUUCUCUCCAUCCUGGCUGUGCAGCAGCAGCCAAGGGUGAGGUUGUUCGCCUAUUAAAGGGGAUCGUGAGCUGGGUUUAGACCGUCGUGAGACAGGUCGGUUACUAUCUAUAAGGAGUGUUGGAAGUCUGAAGGCAAGAAUGAAAUAGUACGAGAGGAACUUUCAUUCGGCGCCACUGGUCUACCGGUUGUCUGACAAGGCACCGCCGGGCAGCUACGCGCCAAGAGAUAAAAGCUGAAAGCAUCUAAGCUUGAAACUCAGCCUGAACAAGAGACUUCAUUAAAGACACGGGUAAAAGACCCGGUUGAUAGGUUCGGGAUGUACGCACGAAGGCAACGACGUGUUCAGUCCGCGAAUACUAAUUGUCUCAAUU
rnacentral:rRNA from 1 species